rnacentral:rRNA from 1 species
GACGAACCGUGCGAACGUUGUUCGGAAUCACUGGGCUUAAAGGGCGCGUAGGCGGCUUGCCAAGUCCGGGGUGAAAGCCUCCAGCUUAACUGGAGAAGUGCCUUGGAUACUGGUGAGCUCGAGCGAGGCAGGGGUCGUGGGAACUUCCGGUGGAGCGGUGAAAUGCGUUGAUAUCGGAAGGAACGCCGGUGGCGAAAGCGCACGACUGGUCCUCUUCUGACGCUGAGGCGCGAAAGCCAGGGGAG